UACGUAGGGGGGCUAGCGUUGUCCGGAAUUACUGGGCGUAAAGAGCUCGUAGGUGGUUUGUCGCGUUGUUCGUGAAAACUCACAGCUCAACUGUGGGCGUGCGGGCGAUACGGGCAGACUGGAGUACUGCAGGGGGAGACUGGAAUUCCUGGUGUAGCGGUGGAAUGCGCAGAUAUCAGGAGGAACACCGGUGGCGAAGGCGGGUCUCUGGGCAGUAACUGACGCUGAGGAGCGAAAGCGUGGGGAGCGAACAGG
rnacentral:rRNA from 1 species